rnacentral:rRNA from 1 species
GAUGAACGCUGGCGGCGUGCUUAACACAUGCAAGUCGAACGGAAAGGCCUCUGCUUGCAGGGGUACUCGAGUGGCGAACGGGUGAGUAACACGUGGGUGAUCUGCCCUGCACUUCGGGAUAAGCCUGGGAAACUGGGUCUAAUACCGGAUAGGACAAUGGUUUGGAUGCUGUUGUGGACAGUUUUUCGGUGUGGGAUGAGCUCGCGGCCUAUCAGCUUGUUGGUGGGGUAAUGGCCUACCAAGGCGUCGACGGGUAGCCGGCCUGAGAGGGUGUACGGCCACAUUGGGACUGAGAUACGGCCCAGACGCCUACGGGAGGCAGCAGUGGGGAAUAUUGCACAAUGAGCGCAAGCCUGAUGCAGCGACGCCGCGUGGGGGAUGAAGGCCUUCGGGUUGUAAACUCCUUUCGCUAGGGACGAAGCGUUUUUGUGACGGUACCUGGAGAAGAAGCACCGGCUAACUACGUG